rnacentral:RNase_P_RNA from 1 species
GCAGUGCUCCGGCCUGUCGCCGGCACCAUAUUUACGGUGCGGGAGGAAAGUCCGGGCAGCGCAGGGCGCCCAGCUUCUGAAAGUGGAAGCCAUUGGUGACAGUGGAAUAUGGCAGAAGAAAAUAACCGCCGUGCCGCAAGGCGCGGUAAGGGUGAGAAGGUGGUGUAAGAGACCACCGGCCGGCGGGUGAUCGCCGGGCCGUGCCAUUCUGGGGCUGCAAGUUCGCGUAUACCGUCGUCUGAGGGCUGCCCGCCCGACUUGCUCCGACGGAGGGUAGAAUGCUCAAGUUGCAUGGCGACAUGCAAUUUAGAUAAAUGACAGGCACCGCCAUCAAGGCGGUACAGAACCCGGCUUACAGGUGCAGUGCUUUC